rnacentral:rRNA from 1 species
GAUGAACGCUGGCGGCGUGCCUAAUACAUGCAAGUCGAGCGAACAGACGAGGCGCUUGCUCCUCUGACGUUAGCGGAGGACGGGUGAGUAACACGUGGAUAACCUCCCUAUAAGACUGGGAUAACUUCGGGAAACCGGAGCUAAUACCGGAUAAUAUAUUGAACCGCAUGGUUCAAUGGUGAAAGACGGUGUUGCGGUCAGUUCUAGCUGCAUACGCGCUGCAUUGGCUAGUAGGGAAGGUAACGGCUUACCAAGGCGACGAUGCGUAGCCGAGCUGAGAGGGGGAUCGCCCACACUGGAACUGAGACACGGUCCAGACUCCUACGAGAGGCAGCAGUAGGGAAUCUGCCGCAGUGGGCGAAAGCCUUGCGGAGCGGCGCCGCGUGAGUUAUGAAGGUCUCCGGAUCGUAAUGCUCUGUUAUUAGGUAAGAACAAAUUUGUAAGUAACUGUGCACUUCUUGACGGUACCUGAUCAGAAAGCCCCGGCUAACUACGUG